rnacentral:rRNA from 1 species
UGCGUAGGCGGUUUAUUAAGUCAGUGGUGAAAUCUGGUCGCUCAACGAUCAAACUGCCAUUGAUACUGUUAGACUUGAAUAAUUGUGAAGUAACUAGAAUAUGUAGUGUAGCGGUGAAAUGCAUAGAUAUUAUCCAGAACACCGAUUGCGAAGGCAGGUUACUAAGUCAUAACUGACGCUGAGGCACGAAAGUGUGGGGAUCAAACAGGAUUAGAUACCCUUGUA